CUGGCUAUGGGGAAUGGAUCGCAGAGGAGACUUUUCCUCUCCGGCAUCGCACCGAAAACCAGAGCACCAUUCGAAUAUCGGCGACGAUGAUUUUUCUGCAAAUCCAUUCCAGGAAGAGAUGUUCUCAAAAGAUCAAAUUCAAGAAAUCGAGCAGCUCUUAUCGCGCAUUGGUGACAGCACAGAGGACCACGAGAUGUUGGCGAACAGCUUCGAGGUUGACCAUGCUUCAUCGACCACAGGCGCGCUUGCGGCGCACAAGAGCUGUGAACAUGACAAGAUGCUACCCGAUAGUCUACAUGGCAGAGACGCUGAAGAAAAACGGGAGCGUAUGUGGAGGGCGCGUAUCGCAGAUGUGCAGACGUACCUGGGACGGAAAAAGAGCGAUACCAUCAACGCGAUCCUUAACGAGCGUAGAUUUCGAGAGAAGACCAGGCAGCAGCGCCACCGGUACCGUGCCCCAUUUCACAGCCAAACACCCAAACUACGGCCUCUUACAGAUCAGUUUUCCAAAUAUGAUGUUCAAGCAGACGACAUGACGCUGUUCAUUGAGAUGAGAAGCCGCUGAGCUUUAGACAGUCUAUCCUUUUGUUUUCGGUUUGCAACUCUGCCAGGAGCAUCCGUGAAGCAGAAGCGACUAAACUAGGCUUUGUACCCCUUUGGCUCUCCUACUAGCUUUUCGCGUUGACAAACAGCCGUACGGGGGUGAGCAGUGUAAGCAGCAUACUCGCCUACAGGGUCAAAAACGUUUUUCUUUGUCUAUGCGUGCGUCAACGAUGAAGUCAUUUCGUCAAUCUCAGCGCAAUCCUGUAAAUAGAGAGAGGAAUAUGAGACUCCAUGCUUCCAAAAAGUGGGAGAAAAGGGAAAAAGAGCAUGAUAUGUAUCUCUCCGUAUCUCCUCUCCGGUUUUCUCUGACUGCUUUCUCUCCACCUGUGGAACGCCUUCGAUUUCACUCCUGACAACACGCACCAACACAUGUUUUUUUAUUCUUGUCAG
rnacentral:misc_RNA from 1 species